rnacentral:rRNA from 1 species
UGGUGGAGUGAUUUGUCUGGUUAAUUCCGUUAACGAACGAGACCUCGAUCUGCUAAAUAAACACAUGGAUUCUAUGAAUCUGCUGUGCGCUUCUUAGAGAGACUAUCGGUUAGUAGCCGAAGGAGGUUCGAGGCAAUAACA